UGUAAGCGUAUACCAAAGUUGUUGCAGUUAAAACGCUCGUAGUCGGAAUUUGGCAGUUCCGGAUGUGUGCACGUCGUGUGCGCACUUCGCGGGGAUUGCUUUUGUGGUCUUGCGUAGGAUGAGGCACUUUUAUUAGUGAACGUCCUCACGCAACCACUUUUUACUGUGAGAAAAUCAGAGUGCUCAAAGCCGGCAUUUGCCGUGAAUGUAUUAGCAUGGAAUAAUAGAAUAGGACUUGGUUCUAUUUUGUUGGUUUGUUGGGACUGAGUAAUGAUUAAGAGGGACAGUUGGGGGCAUUUGUAUUUCGGUGCUAGAGGUGAAAUUCUUAGAUUACCGAAAGACAAACUGCUGCGAAAGCGUCUGCCAAGGAUGUUUUCAUUGA
rnacentral:rRNA from 1 species